rnacentral:lncRNA from 1 species
CUAAGAGCCGGGAGGGUUGCUACAGUUGGGCCCGUUGAUGUGUGGAGGUGGUGGAAAGGGAUUGCAGCAUUUUAGGCGGAGAAAUUACAGAGAUGUCACAUUGCUUCAAAACAUCACAGCUCAUCAAAUUUCCUUUGGGACUUGCCUCAAGAUGUGGUACACUGGAGUGGAAUUUCAUCCAUAGAAACAGCCAGGGGCCGCCGCCGCCUGCGGCCGUGGCCGCGCUGGCAGGGCGUGUGCGACCAUACGGCUCGCUCUGCUUGAGCACGCCGGCGCUGGCGGCGGCCGAG